GCGUUAACAAUAUUUCUAAUAAACAUCACGUGCAACAGGCGUGACUCACACAAGCCGGGUGCGCCGGCCGUGUCGUUCCACUCGUGCAACAGAAGUGACUCAUAAGCCAGCUGCGCCGGCUAGUAUAAAAAGGCGGUGCGUGCCUUGCAAGAAACAUUCGUUGGACUGCGUUUGCCUGGUGCACUUACUAUAUCCUUGUUACGUUGUGUGAUUCAGUGACUGUUGUACGUACUGGUUAAAGUUGGACAAGUGUUAAAGUGAAUUGUUAAGAUAACAUAUUGUUGAUUAAAUCAGAAAUCAAAGGUGACUUCGUUUAACUUGGUGUUCAACAAAAUAAUGUCUACCCUGAAGCUUACAUCAGAAGUGAGAUCAGGACUCUACUCUCACUGGCGUGACGUGUUUGAACAUGUUCGAAGUACAGCAAAAAAAACAUGAUGCAGAUCAGAAUACUAGUAGUGGUACGUCACAAGAGCGUGAAUGCAGCAUACGUAAGUCGUGUAAUAACGUCUCUGUUACCUCGAUGGAAGAUCUGAGCCACGAAGAAAUCGUCACAUCUUACGUUCUGGCUCAUGUUGCCCAGUUUGACUGUCGACGUCAUCACAUGGCGUUUACUAACGGAAAUACAACACGUAACAAGCUAUUGCAAGAAAUUAAGGCAAGUGCAAAUCUCAAGUGAAACUUCGAUCGCAAUAAUGGAUCUGUCAUGACGAGUGGGUAGUUCCGACACGAAUCGUUUUUAAGCCAAUGACUACUGCUAAAGUUACAUGGCACUAGUACAGUAAACCAGGACAUGAGACUGUGAAUUGUCGCUGAAAUUUUAGAAUCUACUCAAUUCAAUACCAAUAACACUACACGUUCGAUGACUUCGGGCUCCAGCAAGCAAGCAAACAAGAAAGCAAGCAAGUUUCCGUGGGGAAGAAAAAUUGACACAUCUGAAGUCGUCGUGACCUGUAAGAUAAGACGUCCGGUGCGUUCGUGUCUGGCGAUGCGGCGGUGUUCAGGUUCCGCUGGCGGAUGCAGGUUUUUCCGGUGAAGUGCGUGCUUGUGCGUGCUUGACAAGUGUUCGCGGUUGGCUUCCUCAGUGUGGGAGUAACAUCGUGUAGCCGGAGGUGAGACUUCCGCGGUCGCGGCCCACCCAGUCCGCGAGAACCGGGCAGAUCGCCUCGACGGUACGGAGGCCGGCCGACGGGUCCGCCAAACGACGAGAUCACGCCUCCAGCACGGACAGCCGAUAUUGGAGCCCCCGCGCUCCGGCUGCACUUGCGCUAGGGUGCGCCGCCUCGUAGGAGACUGUGCUGUGGCAGGUCCAACCAGAGACGUCAACGUGUGUUCCAGAGCUUCAGUGUGUUACAGAUAAGUGGUUUUGGCUCCCCCUUUAUGUUCCAUUCAGGGUCAGAAUGUAGUCUUAUAAAACAAAGCCAUAGUAAUUUAUUCAAUGGUAAGCGGUUUCAUGAACAAGUCACCGUGGUCACCCUAGACACGUCCUUACGGAUCCAUCGGAUCCAAUAGCUCUUGCAUUGGAUACCUUCAGCUCUAACACUAGGAGCAGGCUGAGGAACCCCAGUAAUCGUACUCGUCGAGCUCGACAAAGGGGUCGACGUGCAACCUAGCCCAUGCAUCAGCCCACUGAGUUUCUCGCCGGAUCUUCUCAGUGGGUCGCGAUUCCGAUCCGGUAGUAGAUUCGUUCGCGAAGCAAUUGCUCUUGAGUUGUUAGGUCUCCUGCGGAGGCGCUCGGGCAGUUGUUAGCAAAUCCCACCCCUCUUGGCUGAGCCUUUGCUCGCCCACCCGUCCUGGUGAAGCGGGAAAGGCCUCCGGACCACCAGUAAUCUUUCAAUCACCUGCAGUUUUGGAAAACGAUAGGUAUAAGUUGAGACAUGUAAAUAGUUCUAGUGUACAAAGUUUCCCAUGAAAACUUACGCGAAGUACCUCGAGGCCCGUCAGGCCUACUAGAAAUUUCUGAAAAUUAUAGUGACGAUGACGUGACGGCGUACACAGAUGGGUUAAGUAAUCUUGUUCAUGAAACUGAUCUUAAUAAUGACGACUCUAUCACUGACAAUAGAAGCGACAUUUUUGUCCGCAAAUAGCGAUACAGCAAACAUAGUCUGCGGGUAGUGAUACAAUGUCUGUAAGCUCAGGCACCUCAGGUGCAGGUGUUGCAAAUGUAGAAAACGAUGGUCGGUCUCUCACUAUUUCUGAAGAAAUUCCGUAUAAAUGUUCUGGUUUAAGAGAUGUUUUAACAAACGCUACCGUACACGCAGAUUAAAAAAAAAAAGAGAAUUGUAUGUGGCUAGAGAGAUGUUAAUCCGGACUAGCAAAAAAAAAAAAAGAGGAAAAAAAAAAAAAAGAAAUUGUAAGUCAUUGAAGGGUGUAUCCGGUCCAAUGACUUGGCUAAAGGGAUGUUAAUCCGGACUAGCAAAAAAAAAAAAAAAAAAUAGAAAAAAAAAUGUAGGUCGUUGAAGGGUGUAUCCGGUCCAACGACUUGGCUAAAGGGAUGUUGAUCCGGACUAGCAAAGAAUAAAAAAAAAAGAGUAAAAAAAAGAAAAAAAAAGUGUGAAGUCAUUGAAGGGUCUGUCCGGUCCAAUGGCUUGGCUAUAGGGAUUUUCAUCCGGACUAGCCACAACAAUUAGCUACAGGGAUUGCGAUCCGGUCUAGCAUUAUCCGGUCCAUUUCGAAAAACUGAAGGGAUAACAAUUCCGAUUUAAGUUAAAAGGGACAUACUUACAUACCUGAAGAGAUUUAAAUGAACUGGCCCAGGUAUGUAAGCAGUCAGUAUUUAUAGCCAGUAUAGGAUUUUCUGAAGAAUUAUGCGAACCGAACCGUAUUAGAUUGUUAAUAUCAUAGACCACGUUUUAAGUUGCAUCCGUUAAUGUCAGGAUGAACGAAUACGCUUAUUGUCUACAGAACAACCAUAAAAAGGCGCACGAGGACGAGCGCAUGUCAGUAUGGCCGUGACGGCGUUAACAAUAUUUCUAAUAAACAUCACGUGCAACAGGCGUGACUCACACAAGCCGGGUGCGCCGGCCGUGUCGUUCCACUCGUGCAACAGAAGUGACUCAUAAGCCAGCUGCGCCGGCUAGUAUAAAAAGGCGGUGCGUGCCUUGCAAGAAACAUUCGUUGGACUGCGUUUGCCUGGUGCACUUACUAUAUCCUUGUUACGUUGUGUGAUUCAGUGACUGUUGUACGUACUGGUUAAAGUUGGACAAGUGUUAAAGUGAAUUGUUAAGAUAACAUAUUGUUGAUUAAAUCAGAAAUCAAA